AUGGUGAACUGGAAGCAAUGUUGCAUGCCAAAAAAGUUUGGCAGGCUGGAAAUCAAGAGCAUUGAGGCAUUCGGAAGAUCGCUAAGACUGAGGUCGCUUUGGUAUGAGUGGGAUGAUAUGGAAAGGCCUUGGAAAGGAACGCCGGCACAGUGUGAUUCAACGGACAAAAACCUCUUCGCUGCUUCUACCUCCAUCUCUGUUGGCAAUGGGCAGAUCACUGGCUUCUGGCACAAUAGAUGGCUCGAUGGGGAGUCACCCAAAGAAAUUGCACCGGACGUGUUCCCUUUAGCUUGGAGGAAAAACCUGAAUGUUACAGAAGCUCUGACUGAGGGAAGGUGGAUGCGUGGAAUUCAACGGAUGUCUACUGAGAACCAAAUUCACCAAUUCAUCAGGUUGUGGGAGAAGGUGCAAGCGAUCCAUUUGACUACUGAGAGGGAUAAAAUCUCAUGGAAGCUCUCCAGCAAUGGUUGUUACUCGGCCAAGUCAGCUUAAUGAUGCCAGUUCAUCGGCCGGAUAGAGCAGCCCCACCUUGGCAUGGUUUGGAGGACUAAGGCUGAGCAGAAAGCUCUGGGAGCAACAUCUAUUCGAUCAUGGCGGCAUAAGAUCAAUACAGGAGCUGCAAGAGAGGCAAGGCAAGAGCAAGUAACAUUUGCUGUAUACGUUGCCUGGAACAUAUGGAAGGAAAGGAACCAACGGGUCUUCCAGGCAACAGCCGCCCAGGCUCCUGCUCUGUUGCAGCUGGUGAUGGAUGAUGUUUCCCUCCUGAAGGAGGCCUUCCGCGAGUAG
rnacentral:rRNA from 1 species